ensembl:lncRNA
CUGACACACUGGGUAGCAGUCAGGGCCCCGGGCUCCUGUGUCCCUUAGAACCAAGCCUGCAGGUCUCUGGGCUGAAGUGUUUCCCCCCAAAUCCUCGUACUGAAGCCCUAACUCUGAAGCAGGAGUGUUGAGGGAGCACUCUGGGGGCUCAUGCAGCCUAGGGGACACACAGACCAUAUCCAGAGGGCAGCAGGGCCUUUGGGGUUGAUCACCCCAAAGGUCACAUGCAAGCCCCGCCUUCUCUAUGUGAGGACUCAGCAAGCCAGGAAACGGCCCCUCCAGACAGAGUGGGCCCCUGCUUGGACCUUGGACUCAACCUCAGGGCCGUCAGAAUCAAGUUUCGUGUGUCAAGAACCACCAGCUUGUGGUUAGUUAGAGCGGUUAGAAUGGACCAAUCGGAUCUGAGGUGGAAGGCGGUCUUCAGGGAGCAGGACCACCAGGCACAGAGGACACGGCCAGGACAGGGGAGGGGCUGGAGCUUCACCUGUCUGCCUGUGGAGACUGCUUAGCUCCAGCAGGUCACCCUAGCGGGCCCACCCCGCCCACCAUGACCCCCGUGACAGCACCCUGUCCCCAGGAAGGUUGCCGCCCGCCACCCGGCUUCACCUGCACACAUCCAGUGUCUCCACUGCACGCCUCCCUGCAGCCUGCCCAGGCCUGGCAGCGCCCACGGCUCCAGCUUCAGCUCUACUGGGAGUCAGCUGGAAGCGGGGUUCUACUGGAGAGAAAGUGAUCUGCAACACACGGGGAGUCAAGCUUCUGAAAAGUCCACCUGCAGAGGCGAUUCGGGCCUGUCAGUCUCCCGGGCCCCCUCACAGAGCCUGGCGCAGGACCACCCAGGCGUCAGCCUCCUGCUGUGCUCCAGCCCACACCAGCCCAGGAACUGCGACACAGUCGGAGCAGCCUGGCUGAGAGUGCAGGCCAGAGGCAUGUAGACCACAGCCGUGAGCGUGGCUGUGCACGGUGAGCCAGAUCCAAACAUUAGUGUCGCCACACGGAGCUCUCCUGUCUUCCUCCACUUCCUUCAAUUUACCCCAUCUGGCAGCACCAGGCUGUAUGCCCACAUCAGAUCAAAAUCCAUUUGCGUCCCCUGGAGGGGAGGGGAGGAGGGGAGCGAGCACUCACUGACCAGGGUGCAUUGCUUCUGGGCACCACUUCCGUUCCCAACCCUGAAGGACAAGCAGGGUGGGGUCCCUGGAUCGCCCUCCCUCUGCAGAGCCUGGAAACACCGAGUGCCUCUGGCUGGUUUCUGUUGCUGUAACUGCUCUUCGGAGCUGGUGACUUAUAAACAACAGAAGCUCAUGUGGCCGGGGUUGGGGGGCGGUGGGGGGGUGCACUGGAGUCCAUGCCUGAGGGCCUGCUCGAGGUUCGGGCCUCUGUGCGGUGCCAGCCUCCGCAGGGGUGGAAGGGCAGGAAGACCUGCAGGGCGAGGCUGCCCUCUCAGCUCCAGCCCAUCGUGGUCAGCAUCGAAGACGUCCUGCCCCAGCUCUCCCACCCACCCUCCCAGCCCAUGCUCUUGGGGACCCGGGACCCCGAAGCGUGCCCCUGAGCCC